rnacentral:rRNA from 1 species
UACGUAGGUGGCAAGCGUUGUCCGGAUUUACUGGGCGUAAAGGGCGUGCAGGCGGUUUGUCUAGUCUAGGGUGAAAGCUCCCGGCUUAACUGGGAGAGGUCCUUGGAUACUGGCAAACUUGAGGGAGGCAGAGGAAAGUGGAAUUCCCGGUGUAGUGGUGAAAUGCGUAGAGAUCCGGAGGAACCCAGAGGCGAAGGCGGCGUCCUGGCUCGCAUCUGACGCUCAGACACGACAGCAUGGGGAGCGAACGGG